AGAUUGAACGCUGGCGGCAGGCCUAACACAUGCAAGUCGAGCGGCAGCACGGGUACUUGUAUCUGGUGGCGAGCGGCGGACGGGUGAGUAAUGCCUAGGAAUCUGCCUGGUAGUGGGGGAUAACGCUCGGAAACGGACGCUAAUACCGCAUACGUCCUACGGGAGAAAGCAGGGGACCUUCGGGCCUUGCGCUAUCAGAUGAGCCUAGGUCGGAUUAGCUAGUUGGUGGGUAAUGGCUCACCAAGGCGACGAUCCGUAACUGGUCUGAGAGGAUGAUCAGUCACACUGGAACUGAGACACGGUCCAGACUCCUACGGGAGCAGCAGUGGGAAUAUGACAAUGGGCGAAAGCUGAUCAGCCAUGCCGCGUGUGUGAAGAAGGUCUUCGGAUUGUAAAGCAUUUAAGGUUGGAGGAAGGCUAAGUUACUAAUACGUAUCUGUUUUAGACGUUACC
rnacentral:rRNA from 1 species